rnacentral:sRNA from 1 species
AUUCUGCCCAUGCGGGGAAGGAUGAGAAGCUGACCAAGGUUCGCUACGAGCGCCAGCGAGAGAGCGUGGCCGCAGGCAACGACCCGAAGGGCGAAGCGCGCAGCGCUGAGUAAUCCUUCCCCCACCACCA